GGGAAAUUAAAAACAACUCUCUUACUCACCAACUAGAAAUUAAAAAUUUAACGAAAAAAAAUUCUUGUCGUUCAUCAAUUAUAGCAAUAUUGUUGAUAGAAAACGUAGCGCGUAAACAUUUCAAACGACGAAAUUUGUAACACCGCGGUGUUCCAUAAAUAUUUGCCAUUUUCCCAAUAAUUUCGUUUCCGGUUUUUCCAAAUUAUUUUGAAAACCCUUGGGAAAAUCAAAAAAUGACCGGUUUAAUGCAUCAUUGCAUCCGCUAAAUUAAAAAUGCAACCAAAAAUGUCCGCUUGUCAUUUCGAUUGGAUAAGUUUUCUGUUGGAAAUGUCGUUUAUACGGACACACUACGCGUAUAUCAUAGUAAAACCAAUAGAUCCCUCGCUCUGCUCCGAAUCUAAAUAGUACGUAGAGACGGUUCGCCACCGGAAAACGACCUCGAUGCAGGGAGCAAGUGAAAACCGGUGAACAGACGAGACACGGAAAAACUCACCACACCGAACUCAAAUACAC